CGUACAUUGACCCAAUAAUUGUACACUACGGCGUAGUACUCAAAGACGUUGUAAGAACCGCCUUAUGAGCUUUCCGCUUUCCUUGACAUUUACAUUAUUGUCAUUUAUUUAUCCGAUAUCCGGCGAGCGCACACGGAAUAAAUGAUAACGGACGGACCGUCGACGAUUAUCAUUUACCUUUAUUAUUAUUAUUAUUUGAAAUUUUACUCGAUUCUCAUUUCUCGUAUUAAAUAAAAGACACUUCAUCACAAUAUAAGUUAUAACAUAUUAUUUUCAAUCACACACUGUGAAUCGUCGAUGAAUUGCAGUACGGUUUUCUAUGUGGAGAUGCAAACACAGACUACCGAGCACUAGCGUUAAGCCGCGGCAGACUUCGUUGUUAUUCUCGAAGGCCCCUUAAAGCUGGAGGCCUAUGUGCAUUGCACAACUUUCACGCUCAGUAGUUGCGGUACUGGGUGGUAUGCUGAGUCAAUAUGAAAAUGAAUCUAAAUCUUAUGUGUUACAGCAUAGUAUUACGGGUGCCCAUUCGCCUACCUGUUUUAAAUUAUAACUAAAGACUGGAUUUAUAUACAUUUAAAAUUUUAAAAUAUGCAAAAUAAUUUUUGAUUAUUACAGCUAGGUAUUUAUUUAUUGUAAAACUGUAAAAUUAUAAAACUAAACAUUAAUGAUUGAAAAAAAAAACUCCAAUUUUAUAUAUUAUAUGAUAAAAAAUAGACAAUUUAUUUGUUUUUGGAAAAACAAUAAGUAACAAUAUGUCAAUCCAUUUAAUACUUAAGUAUUAUAAAGUAGCUAACACAAACAAUGUUAUAUAAUAUGAACACAUUUUUAUAAUAUGUUGACUAUUACCGUAUGGUAUGUACACUUCGAACUACAGUCGUCAGUCUGUCAGUCCUAGUUUUGUAGUAUUGACAAAUGACAAUAAUGUUAAGCAAAAUAGAUAAGAUAAAUAUAUUUGAUAUGAAAAUCAAUAUGCAAUGAAUUAGGUACCUACCUACCUACUAACUAAUAAGUAAUAAUGAUCUACAGAAACGUAAUGUACUAAUGUUAUAUUUUUAAAAAUAUUUAAAAAUGUUGUGUUGUAGACCUAAUUUAUAGAUAAUAAUUGUAUAUAAAACUAUUAAACUAAAUUAAAACAUUUAAAUUUAUACAUAAUAUGCAAAUACAUGCGUUUUUAUGGAAAAUAUGGAAAAUAAAAAUUUGUAAUAUUAUUUAUUUAGGUAUGUUUGAUGUAAAUCCAUUUACUGCAUGUAAUUACUUAUAAAAAUAUGAACAUGCAUUAUUUGCAAAAUUCCGGUCUUUAAUUAUAACAUUAAAUAUUAAUUAAUCAAUAUCAUUCAUUUUUUUUUUUUUAAGUUGUUUAAUUAUAAUAUAAAAUUAGUCAUAAGUUAAAAUAAGUUUAUUAUAACUAAUUGUAAAAGUACAUGAAAAAUGUAACUUUAGAAAAACUAAAAAUAUUGCACUGAUCUUAGUAAAUUGAGUUGGUGGAUAGGUAGCUUAUGAAACUUGCUCCUAGACUGUUGAAGACUCAAGGUACUAUACAUAUUUAUAUUUAUAUAGAUAUUUUUUUUUAUUAAAUGAAAUCAAUACAUUACAUUUAAAACAAGUAAUAAAUAGUAACAUAUUAAAAUUAAAUUAUCCCCUUAAGCAUAGCUUGUGGUGGGAUAAUUUAGUUAUUUUAUAAAGGUAUUUACAAAUUAUUACAUUUUUUUUUUUAAACAUUGUAUUAGAUUUAAUACUACAUAAGAUAAAAAUAAAAUACAAAAUAACUUACAAAUUAAAGUUUGCUUAACAACCAUGUUAUAAUUAAUUUUUUAUUUAUUUAAUAACCAGAUUUUUUGUUUAUAUUAAAAAAGAUGUUCUUGAUAUAAUGGCAAUGCAUUAAAAUUAAUUAGACCUAGAUAGUCUAAAAAAUGUUUUCCAAAACUUUUUUUUGUAUACUCAGCUUUAAUAUCAUAAGCCCUUAUUUCAUAUUCAUUAAUUUUUUGUAAGACUAAUAAUUUUAGAAGAAUAUAAUAUGGAAAAUUGUUUACACAGCAACCUGACCGGUAAUACACCUAACUCUAUGUAGUUUAAAACAGAAAAACCUAUUAAAACAUUUUUACGCAAACAUAGCUAAA